GAUGAACGCUGGCGGCGUGCCUAACACAUGCAAGUCGAGCGAAGCGGGGACGGGUGAGUAACACGUGGAAAACCUCCUAUAAGCGUGGGAUAACAUCGGGAAACCGGCGCUAAACCGGAAACUUAUAGAUGGAUCUGCGCUGCAUUAGCUAGUAGGUAAGGUAAUGGCUUACCAAGGCUACGAUGCAUAGCCGAUCUGAGAGGGUGAUCAGCCACACUGGAACUGAGACACGGUCCAGACUCCUACGGGAGGCAGCAGUAGGGAAUCUUCCACAAUGGGCGAAAGCCUGACGGAGCAACGCCGCGUGAGUGAAGAAGGUCUUCGGAUCGUAAAGCUCUGUUAUUAGGGAAGCGGUACCUAAUCAGAAAGCCACGGCUAACUCCGUGCCAGCAGCCGCGGUAAUAC
rnacentral:rRNA from 1 species